UGGCUUCGACGCCGGUGGCGAACCCUUGGGUGCAUGUCGAGAUGGCAGCCAAUCUCGUUAAUCCAAAGCUGCAACGCAAUAGUCGCAAACGACGAAAACUACGCACUAGCAGCUUAAUAACCUGUAUAGGCCCUCCCACUUCAGCCGUUGUCUUUUCGUGAAGGCUCGGGAGGUCAUACUAAAAGACUAGC
rnacentral:sRNA from 1 species